rnacentral:rRNA from 1 species
AUGCUGAUGCUUGAGCCUGUCGUAGAAUCUACUUGUGUUAAGUACCUGUACUAUGAUUUUAACCUACAAAAUGUGGAACAUACAAGCAUUACUACCAUGUAUCAUUUAGUUCUGUGUGUGUUUCAUAGUGAUCCAUUACUACUAUAUGUGUUUUCUUCUCCCACCUCUUUGAGAAAGUUGUUUCCAUAUCUGCUCCUGUUUUAUAUUUUACAGACUUUGAACUUGCUGGGGCUGGAACGGAAAUGGAACAGGCACAAGAGCUUGAGGUGUUUGCACCAAUUGCUUUCUUCACACAAGGCCAUGGCUUUGAUCAUUGUGGACGUCACCGACCACCUAUUCUAA